UACGAAGGGGGCUAGCGUUGUUCGGAGUUACUGGGCGUAAAGCGCACGUAGGCGGACUAUUAAGUCAGGGGUGAAAUCCCGGGGCUCAACCCCGGAACUGCCUUUGAUACUGGUAGUCUCGAGUCCGGAAGAGGUGAGUGGAAUUCCGAGUGUAGAGGUGAAAUUCGUAGAUAUUCGGAGGAACACCAGUGGCGAAGGCGGCUCACUGGUCCGGUACUGACGCUGAGACGCGAAAGCGUGGGGAGCAAACAGG
rnacentral:rRNA from 1 species